rnacentral:tRNA from 1 species
AGCUCAGUUGGUAGAGCAGCUGACUCUUAAUCAGCGGGCCCAGGGUUCGAAUCCCUGC